rnacentral:rRNA from 1 species
UACGAAGGGGGCUAGCGUUGCUCGGAAUCACUGGGCGUAAAGGGUGCGUAGGCGGGUCUUUAAGUCAGGGGGGAAAUCCUGGAGCUCAACUCCAGAACUGCCUUUGAUACUGAAGAUCUUGAGUCCGGGAGAGGUGAGUGGAACUGCGAGUGUAGAGGUGAAAUUCGUAGAUAUUCGCAAGAACACCAGUGGCGAAGGCGGCUGUCUGGUCCGGUUCUGACGCUGAGGCGCGAAAGCGUGGGGAGCAAACAGG